UACGGAAGGGGCGAGCGUUGUUCGGAAUCAUUGGGCGUAAAGGGCGCGUAGGUGGCUCUGUAUGUCUACUGUGAAAGCGUACGGCUCAACCGUAUCUUGUCGGUAGAAACUGCAGGACUUGAGGCUGGGAGGGGCUGGUGGAAUUCCCUGUGUAGCGGUGAAAUGCGUAGAGAUGGGGGAGAACACUCGUGGCGAAGGCGGCCAGCUAGACCAGUUCUGACACUGAGGCGCGACAGCGUGGGGAGCAAACAGG
rnacentral:rRNA from 1 species